rnacentral:lncRNA from 1 species
CAAAUAAAUCCACCCCAUUCAAACUUAUUUGCAAAUAAGGAAAAUCCUUUUAUAUAUACCAAAAUUACCCCCAAUUCAUUGAAACCCAAUUCAACUCCAAUUUCAUGAUUUACACCCCAAUUUAGCCCAAUUUCAUCAAUUAACCAAUUUUAACCAUAAUUUCAAUUUUGACCCCAAUUUUAACCCUAAUUCUUAUCAAUUCCACCAAUUAUGC